GUCACUUCCGGCUCCCAGCGCUCUCUGAAAGCUAGGCUAGCGGAGCUUAUAAAGAUCGGAUGGUAGAGCUUUCGCUUUCCCCUCAGACGCUCCAGAUGUAGACUAGGUGAGCUCUCUGCCCGGGAGGGACAGAUCGUCGGAGCCCGCGGGCGGAAGGCGAGUCGUGGCGGGGUUAGGGCUCUGGAGUCCGGCCCGGCCCGGCAGUCCCCUGAGCUUGAAAGAAUUGAAUGCCUCCUCAGUUGUCACCCAGGCUGAUCUUGCGCAGGCUGUUGGCUUCUCGUGGAGUUUGGUAAGUAAAAAAACGA
rnacentral:lncRNA from 1 species